CCAAGUAAAGUGUCUGGUGUAUAAAAGAGAGGAAGAUUACUGUGUCAAGGCACAACUGAAGAAAAAGAGCACGAGCUAUCAUCUCUUCAUUAUCAUCAGGUCUCAGGUUCUUAUAAUCACUUGGUCAAUAUGAGAGAGUCUGCAGAAAUUACAAAGAGAGACAAACACGUCAUUGAUGGCUUUCCUGAUCAUGUUUAUGACAACCCUACCUUUCAACAAGAUGAAAAGCCGGCAAGUAAUGGGAUAAUAAAGAAGGAGCAAGACAAAGGGAAGAAAGGAAAGAAAAAUGAAGCAACUG